AUCUUUUCUGUCUCUCAUGUUGGUUCGAUUUUGUUUGCAGUGUUUGUUUUUGAUUUUGUUUGCAGUAUUUGUUUGCAGUGUUUGUUUUCGAUUUUGUUUGCAGUAUUUGUUUUGGAAAACUUGGCACUUCAAAUUGGAGCAUAAAAAGGCUCAAAUCUUGUUUGCUGAGGGCUAGAAAUCUGAAGCUAAUUCUCUCUCUCUCUCUCUCUUCAAAUUUCCUAGGUUGGGUUUGGUAUUUUUGAUGGGUAUGUGAUUUCUGGGCCAUUCAAUAUUCUAUGUAUUUGAAAAUUGAAUUAGUUAGACAAAGAAUUGAUGAGUGAUGUUGGUUCUUGUCCGGCCAGAUUUAGUGCCAUUGUUAAAUUAAUCCUGUGAAGUGCAUUAUAUAAUGAGAUAUAUGCACUGUUAAGGAACUCAUAGAGGACUAGUUCUCAUACAUGUGAUCUCUUAUGAUUCAGAUAGCUAUUUUAUCCUUUACACUUUUUGAUUAAUAAGACAUAUUGCACAUAUUUAAAUGCCAAAUAUAUUUUAUGGGCCUAAACUGCUACUUACUUGGAUACAUAUAUAUAUUUAUUGUUUAUAUGUAUAUGAGAGAAAGAAACACUGUACUGGAUAGGACAACAAGAAUACUAUGUGCAGUUCAUCUCGUCUAUACAUUUUCCAAGGACCGUCUGAGUUGAUGCCACCAGAAAAAGGCUUGAAAGUUUAUGAGAGUACAAGAUGCGUGAAGAUAUUUUAGAUCAGCAGGCAUCACUUCAACGAGCAAGCCUUGAAGCUUCUCUUGCUGAUGGCAUCUCUUGGGGUAUGGGAGAGGAUGCCAUUAUAGAAGAAGCUGAGUUUUGGACUUGAGGAUGAUGGUGAGGAAGUAACUUGGCAAACAUACAAAGGACAGCUUACAGAAAGGCAGAUAAAAACACGUGAUAAAAUAACUAAAAGAAUGGAAAAGAUGGCUCAUAUGAAGAAGAGUUAGAUGCUAUUCGUGCUAAAGAUGUCUUUCAAGGUGGAUUGACUCAAGGGCAACAAACUCAGAUUGCGCGAAAUGAACAAAGAACAGAACAGACGGAUGACAUGCUUCCAAGCUUGGAAGAACUGGGAGUGCGUCAACUGUACCCAAAAGGCCCAAAUAUUGAUUUUAAGAAGGAACUAAGGUCCCUUAACAGAGAGUUGCGAAACUUGCUGAUAUUAUUGUGGAGAGAGUAGAGAUCUUCACUAUAUGCAAGGUGGGUGGAAGAAAUAUCUCUUAUAUUCAAGAACUUGCAUCAUCUUCUGAACUCAUUGCGGCCCCAUCAGGCAAGGGCAACACUAAUUCACAUUCUAGAACUUCAGAUAAAACGAUGUAAACAAGCUGUUGAGGAUAUAAAGAGGAGGAGAGAAGAAGCACAUGCACUUCUGAAGGAGUCCCUUUAAUCGUUGGAGGACACUAGUGCAUCUCUUACGUUGAAAUAGGGAGUGCUCAUGUAUGUUCCUACUCAAUGAUCAGAGCCCCUCAGACAGUUUCAUCUAAUACCUUUGGGGAGGGUCAUGGAAUCGCACUGGUCAAAGUUUCUCGGACAGACAGUUGCAUCUAGUACCUUCAUGCUUUUAAAUCAGAAACUUCUGGUUUUACCUUUCUAUUCUAGUGUCGAAAGGAAUGUAGUCCAUCUAGCUGUCAUUGACUGAUGGUAUCCAAGCAUUAACUCAGAUGGCAUGGAUAGAUGGAGGAUAGAUUAGAUUCAUUUCAAGUGGCAUAAUAGUAUUCUGUUCCAUCACUCUGUAACUUUUACUCAUCUAAUAUCAAUUGCAGUGAAUUCUGACAAACUCAAGAGAUUAUUUACACACAACCCUACUGCAAAAAUGUUAUCAUUUUGUGAUAACGCAGUACAUGCAUGUUGGUUUUGGGUAUGUUUGCUAGACAUUGACAUUAAAUGGAGUCCACCUUAAUAUGGUGGGGUGACUUGGUGUUUUCCAUUUUGCAUCCAUUGUAACAUUGUAACACAGACCUAGGUACUAUUAGUCCAUUGUCAUUGACCUAAUCAAGGAAAUGGUUGAGGAGAAAGAGGGAAUUCCUCCAGUGCAACAAGGGUACUUGUUUCUCUUUCUUCUCAUAUUAAAUCUAUCUGAAGUAAUAAGUUACUUGAACUUGACUUAUGUCUGGUUUUGUACUUUUAUCUAGCUUCAGUAUGCAUUAAAUGUUUUUAGAUUGAACUCUUAGUUUAGUUAAUUUUCAUGCCUUAUAUCAUCCAUGCAUAUGCACAUUAACUUGACAACUGUUUUGGAAUAUCACCUGCAUUUUGAUUUUAAUAGCUUAAGAAGACUUGCUAGAAUAAAGUCUUAUUAAGCAGCAUGAUUGCUGCAUUAUUAUUCUUAGUUAAUAGCUUCACGUGAUUAUGGUACCGGCCAAUUUUCAAGAGAUCUUGAUUUGAGUAGCAACAAUUUGGAAGGAUCAAUACCCGUGUCUAUCUUUAAUCUUCCAAUGCUUGAUUUCUUUAAACUUGUACUUUCUUCAAACAACUUGAGUGGGUUUCCUUUUUAUGGCCUGUGGAAUUUUUAUGGAUUGAAAAAGAAGAAAAAUGAUUUAUCUGUUCCAUACUUUGAGCUUUUGUUUCAAAUGAGGCAGUGAGUAAUGCAUUGGUUAGUGUUUGCUUGUCUUUCCCCACUAUUGGAAGUCGUAUCAGCAUUUACUCAUUCUUUACAUCCGAAAGGCUAUUAUGGUUUUCCAUAGAACUUAGAUUUGUUCAGUGGACAAGAUUAUCUUGUCCACUGAAGGUUGGUCAAGUUAUGGUUGACUUUGCUUCUGUUCCUGUUUGGGACUAUUAGGUGCUCCGUAUGAUUUAAAUCCUGGGUACGAUGAAAUUAGUGUAUAUGCACAUUAACUUGACAGCUGUUUUGGGAUAUUACCUGCAUUUUGUGUUUACUAGCAUAAGAAGACUUGCUAGAAUAAAGUCUUAUUAAUCAGCAUUAUUGCUGCAUUAUUAUUCUUGUCUUUGUUAAUAGCUUCUCGUGUUUUAUGGUACCGGCCAAUUUUCAACAGAUUAGCAUCUAAUGAUUUUGAAAUGUCCACAGGCUGAUUUAUGCUGGCAAGCAGCUUGGAGAUGACAAAACUGCAAAAGACUACAACAUUGUAUUGUAGUAUUGUAUCAAUUGAUCAGUUCAGGCAAACUCUUUGUGAAGGCUUUAUCGAGCCUUGAUACUGUAAAACAUUUGAGUUGCAUUACAUGGCAGAAAACUCGUUCUAAGUGGGUUACUGUGGACAUAAAUAUUGGUGU